UACGAAGGGGGCUAGCGUUGUUCGGAAUUACUGGGCGUAAAGCGCGUGUAGGCGGGUCUUUAAGUCAGGGGUGAAAUGCCAAGGCUCAACCUUGGAACUGCCUUUGAUACUGGAGACCUUGAGUCCGGGAGAGGUGAGUGGAACUGCGAGUGUAGAGGUGAAAUUCGUAGAUAUUCGCAAGAACACCAGUGGCGAAGGCGGGUUGCUGGGCCGACACUGACGCUGAAGCGCGAAAGCGUGGGGAGCGAACAGG
rnacentral:rRNA from 1 species